UAAGAUGGAGAGGGGGAAAGCCCCGUUGGA
rnacentral:piRNA from 1 species